rnacentral:lncRNA from 1 species
GUAUUUCCUUACUCCAGACCUUCAUCCUAAUUCAGUCAGCUCCUCAGCCUGCCAGUUAGGGUUUGUCACCCACCUGAGACAAUGAACCUGGGUGCAUCACAAGAGGUGAGCAGCAAGACAGCAAUCUGAACUUCCCCUGUGUCUACAACCACUGGCCACGGCUCAUAUCACCACUUGAGCUCUGCCUCCUGUCAGAUCAGCAG